rnacentral:rRNA from 1 species
AGCUCUUAUAGCGUAUAUUAAAGUCGUUGCGGUUAAAAAGCUCGUAGUUGGAUCUCGGCAGGCAAUGGGUGGUUCGCUCCUUAGCUCUACUGCCCCAUUUGCCUGUUUGAUUGGCAGAGGUUUUGGGGUGUCCUUUGUUGAGUGACCCGGAGCAUUGUCAGGUUUACUUUGAAAAAAUUAGAGUGCUCAAAGUAGGCUUUUCACGCUUGAAUAUUCGUGCAUGUAAUAAAAGAAUAGGAACUCGCUUCUAUUUUGUUGGUUUCCAGAAAUCGAGUUAAUGAUUAAUAGGGACAAUUGGGGGCAUUCGUAUUCAGACAACAGAGGUGAAAUUCUUGGACCGUCUUAACACUAACCACUGCAAAAGCAUUUGACAAGAGUGUUUUCA